UCUGCUUCAUCAUGCAGCACUGAAGUCGCUCGUUGUUUCUUUAAGGGAAUCUGGGCUCAUCCAUUUAUUGAGCAAAAAAUUAAAGAAAUUAAAUCUUACAUUUAAAAAAACAUGAAAGGUUUGUUUGAAAACCUCAUAUCUCCCGUUUUCUUUUUGUCAUGUUUCCAGAUCCAACGUUGUCUAAAGUCCAGACAGCAGCAGCCCAGAUGUUACUGACUGACCCCCGCACGCGCUCACUCAACCGUCUGAUUGGUUGGAGCUUGUCGGAGGCUGAGCGGGACGUUCUGUCGCCCCGGGCAACGUAGAAAAAAGGACAAAUCCCAGAGCUAUGGAGGCCAGGUCAUGGUUUUUCUAACAACUUUUGCGUUAACUUGCAAUAAUUUCACCUUGUGAUACAAACAUUCAUUAUUAUUCCUCAGGAAACAUCGGUUCAUGUUUUAUAAGUUGGGACAAAAACGAGGUCUGUUUCCCUCAGCUUGGGUCGCAGCAACACUUUCCAGCUGCUCCUGGCAGAUCCUGAGGCGUUCCCGGGACAGAGGUUUGGGUGUACCCUGGGGUCGCGCCCCGGUAACCUCCAGUGAAAGGCGCUCAGGAGGCGUCCUGACCAAAUGAAGAGCUCAUGUUGGUUCGGCGCCGUGAAAUCCGACUCUUCCUCGAGGACUGUGGGAACGUUUAGGACCAUCAGACUGACACUCAUGUGUUUAAAGAGCCGGUUCGAGUAGAAGUGAGGAGGAAAUAAAGGCGGGCUCUACAAACUGCAAACACCUGUCAACGUGUCAGAAACCAUCAACCUGAGAACUUGUCCGUCUUCAACAGGAAGUCUCUGUCGACGCAUCUGAGACCUCCCAACAGAAACAUCUGGAGCCGGCGUGGAGCUCCGACGAGGAAGAGGGAGAAAAGACGAAGACGUCAGACGGAGAAACGCUGAAACCAGAUCUGCCCGGAGGUGGACGUCUGGAGGAGGAGAGGGUGAGGAAAUGUAGAUGCAUAUCGCUGCUGUCGGGGUGAAGGCCACAGAAGUGAAAUCAUGCUGAACUUUUUCCCUCCUUCAGUCUGGAGUUGAGUUGGAGUCCUGAUACUUGGGAGACGUGUCCUGAAAGAGAUGCCAUCUCUUCUUUAGUCCCGGAGAGAUAAUAGACACAUCACGCAGUCGUCAGCGGACACAUUAAACACAGGAGAACAGAUGAGGGGCGUUUGAUUCGUCUCAUCUCACUAAUGAUGUGUUUAGAUUGAGGCUGCACAGUCACUCGCAGCAGGUUUAAAAAAACUACCAGCUGCUGUUUAGAGAAGCAGCUGGAGAAGAUCAGGAACCUGAUCCUGCAGGGACAGACAGGGAGGACUGUUUAUGUAUGAGAGACUUUACAUUAGGAAGAAAUCCUCAGAGAGCUGCGGCUGCAACAAACCCCAGAUCACAUACUGUAAAUUCCUUAUAACAUAUCUGGACUGUGGGUGGCAGGACUCCAAACACAUGUCCAAGUCCACGUCUUUCCUGCUGAGUCCCACACAUGUCCGCCAGCUCUCACGUUUAUUUUUGGGGGCUCUACUGGAUUUGGAGGCUCUGUGGCGUCGAUGCAACAAGUUCCCUUAAAGGUCUGUGUCCAUGUGUAGUGUGAUUAUAGAUCAGCUCUAGCUUCUAUAUUAAUACUGUGAAAGUAUCAAAGCCUCAGUCCACAGAGAAAUGCACACAGCCUGUAUUCAGAAACUGAGCCUUAAAACCAGCCGUCAGGACUUCUGGAACUUUGUGAUGUCACAACAAAGCAGUCACCAAGCCCCGCCCACCUGGACCCACCAUCCAAACCUUGCAGGAUUUGGUUUCUCUGAGUGUUUUUACCUGAAAUCUGCUUUAUUUUUAUUGGAUCACUCAGAAAACAGUCAGCCAAUCAGAAGAGAGGCUCAGAGCCUCCUCUCUUCUGAUUGGCUGACCGACCUGUUGUUACUAGAGCUGCAGAGAGAAGCCUGAGAGAGGAGAUGUAAAACUACACUGAGAUGGUUUUUGGUUCUUAAAUACACAAAUAUAUCUUCUUUAAUCAAAAAGAAACUAUUCUGAUAAUCAAUUAUCAUCAUUUAUGACGAGCAAAAACAGCUUCUCCAGGAGGAUUUGCUGUUUUCCUUUGUUUUAUAUUAUUUUCUUUUGUAUUGCUGGUUUGAAUUUGACAAAACAACAUUUGAAGACGUUAGUUUGGCUUCUGGAAACUCGGCAGAUUAAUUGAUAGUGGACUCCUGAUCAGCAGAGGACAGUAAAGCAACAGAAGGACGGUCAGAUGUCUGCCUUCUCUGGAGGUGUUGACAUGUGACCACAGCUGCUCUUCAUACUGAAGGUGAGAGGAAACACACGGGUCACCGGGUCCAUGCACAGCUGCAGGUGGUGUGUUCAAGUGUUGUUGAGGGAAACCGGAGAUUGUGCCUCGUUGCUCGUCCUCUUUUCCGAACAGCUUUUUGAAGAUUGUGUCACUUGUUUGUUCUGAAAAUCUUGAUAAAGUAACAAAGUGUUGGAGUAAGAAAAUGCUAAAAACAGAGCUGCUAACUUCUACCAGCAUCUGGAAGGAAGUAGUGUCGUAUAUCAAUGAGGAAAUGUGCAGUAUCACAGAUCGGCCCUGUAGGAAGAAACACAGCAAAACCCCAAACGUCAUUACAGAUUUUAUUAUUCUGAACUGUACAUAUGAAAACAAACUUCACCUAUACUUAGUCUGUUUACAGAAGCCCGGCCCUGCAGAGGCCGUUUGGUCUCUACACAUCUACUGUGUGUUAAAAUGAAGCCGUCCAGCUGCUGAUGUAAACACAAAAAUAAAUUAAGAAGAUAUUA